UUUUGGCUCCAAGCCCACGUAUUCGCUCCCAUUCGCCAUUUUCGUCUCUCAAAUCCCAUCUCUCUCUCUCUCUCUCUCUCCAAAUCUCUCCCGGCGAGUUCUUCGCUCAAAAUCUUCGGAACCCAUUUCUUCUUUUUACUCUUUCCCCCCAUAAUUUCGAUUCCUUCAUUUUGAUUUCUCUCCCCUUUACUGUAACGCAAUUCUCAGCAUCAUCACACCUCAAUUACACAAUCCCUAGUUUUCCAAUUUUCAUCUCCCUCCCUUUUCAGCCGUCUUCCCCGCCCUUUAUUCAUGGCUUCCUCUUCUUUCUCUGCUUAGUUGAACAAGACCCACCUCUGAUUUCAGGUUUCUUCGUACCCUUGUAAAUCCCCAAUUUGCGAAUUUUGCUGCCCCUUUUGCUUUUGCUUUUAUUUUUUUUUUAUUUUGCCUGUGUUGGGGGGUGGGAUUUGAUCUGAAUUGAUGAUUCUUUUAGAAGAGGAAAGUGGUAUUUAUUCAAGAUUCAAGGAAAAUGGAGGGAUAUGCAUGGGUCUGGAGGUGAGAGGUGGAAACAGAGGCGGCACAUGUGGCCGGUCCAUUCUAAUUCGACAGCUGUAGCUUGCGAAUUGUCCGCCCCAGAUUUCUUUCUCAAAGAUGGACGCAAAAUCCACGUUGGUGAUUGUGCUCUUUUCAAGCCACCUCUAGAUUCCCCUCCUUUUAUUGGAAUUAUACGUUCAUUCAAGUCGGACAAGGAGACAAAUUUAAGGUUAGAUGUGAAUUGGCUUUACCGGCCUGCUGAUGUGAAGCUCCCAAAAGGAUUAUUGUUAGAUGCUGCGCCGAAUGAGAUCUUUUACUCAUUUCAUAAAGAUGAGAUACCUGUCGCAUCAUUACUUCAUCCUUGUAAAGUUGCUUUCCUUCGCAAAGGCAUUGAACUUCCGUCGAGCAUUUCCUCAUUUGUGUGCAGAAGAGUGUAUGAUACUGAUAACAAGUGUUUAUGGUGGUUAACCGAUAGAGAUUAUAUUAAUGAACGUCAAGAAGAAGUAGAUCAACUAUUAGAAAAGACAAGGCGAGAAAUGCAUGGGGUGGUGCAGUCUGGAGGCCGUUCACCAAAGCCCUUGAAUGGUUCACUUCCAGCCGUGCAGCAAAAAUCUGGUUCAGAAAGUAUACCAAAUAGUUCUUCUCUCACUUCUCACGUUAAAAGCAAGAAAAGGGAACGAGGUGAUCAGGGGUCUGAACCCACAAAGAGAGAGCGGUUAUUUAAAACAGAAGAUGGAGAAUUCGGUCAGUUUAAAUCAGAAAGUACGCUAAAGAAUGAGAUUGCUAAAAUUACUGAUAAAGGAGGACUUGUUGACUUUGAGGGAGUUGAAAAUUUUGUCAAACUUAUACAACCUGACAGUUCUGGUCAGAAAUUAGACUUGGCCGAUCGAGUGAUGCUUGCUGAUGUUAUAGCAGUCACUGAUAGGAUUGAUUGUCUAGGAUGGUUUUUGCAGCUCAGGGGUUUGCCUGUAUUAGAUGAAUGGCUUCAAGAAGUUCGUAAGGGUAAAAUUUGUGAUGGUAAUGGCACGAAAGGAAGUGUUAAAACUGUAGAGGAUUUUCUUUUGGCUCUACUUCGUGCCUUGGAUAAACUUCCUGUGAAUCUCAAUGCUCUUCAGAGUUGUUAUAUAGGUAAGUCUGUGAAUCAUUUACGUACUCACAAAAAUGCUGAAAUUCAGAAGAAAGCAAGGAGUUUGGUAGAUACCUGGAAGAAACGUGUGGAAGCUGAGAUGGAUGUUAAUGAUGCAAAGUCUGAAUCCAGUCAUGGUGUCUCAUGGCCUUCUAAAUCUGGGCCUUUAGAAGUUUCUCAAGUAGGGAGCAAAAAGGCUGGAGGGUCUAGUGAUGAUUGCGUAAAGAGCUCUACACAUUCUAACAUGUUUAAACAUUCUCAAGCUAAAUUCUGUCCCAGUGAAAUGGUUGGCAAAUCAUCUGCAUCGUCGAGCAGCAUGAAGUCUUCUUCAAGCAUGGUUGCUUCAUCAAAGGAUUAUAACUUCAAAACACUAGUUGGUGGGAACUCAGAUCUUCCUUUGACUUCUAUAAAGGAGGAGAGGAGCAGCAGUUCAAGUCAUUCCCAAAAUAACAGUCAGUCAAGUGAUCAUGCAAAAACUGUGGCAUCUUCAUGCAAAGAAGACACUAGGAGCUCAAAUUCUGGUUCAGGAAGUGUUAGCAAAGUUUCUGUGGGUGCUCGCCAUCGGAAGCCUAGCAAUGGUGUUCAUUUGAAUACUCUCACAGGAACACACAAGGUAUCUGGGUCUGGAAAACUUAAUGCCCUAAAUAAGAGUUUGACUUCUGAAAAGGCCUCUACUGCAUCACGUGAGAAAUCUCCAGAUGCGUCACUUGUUGAACAUGGAUAUAGUCGACUUGUUGUAAAGUUGCCGAACACCUGCAAAAAUCCAGUGGGAACUACUAGGGUUGUCACAGAGGAUCAAGUUGUUUCAUGUCACAAAGGAUCUCUUCAUGAUGAGGCAGGUGAUAACCAUGAAAAGAAAGCUAAAGGCAGAAGCGAUUUGCUUGGGGCUAGUUUUGCAACUGAAGUAAACUCAGAUCAAUGUCAUAAGAAAGAUCAAUUUCUCAGCUCAGAGGAGGGUAAAGAGGUAGCUGCCAGCAACGAACGAGGCAGGCUUGCUGCGGCCAAUGAAGGGCAAUCAGAAACCAAUGCUUCAUCGACUGGAAUUAUAUCUAGGCCUGGAAAAACUUAUGAUGCUUCUCUAAGCUCCAUAAAUGCCUUGAUUGAAAGCUGUGUUAAAUUUGCUGAGUCUAAUACAUCAUCAUCACCAGGGGAUGUUGUAGGGAUGAAUCUUCUUGCGAGUGUGGCUACUGGGGAAAUAUCUAAAUCUAAUAAUGCAUCGCCGUUGGAUUCUCCUCAGGAACGAUCACCUAUGGCAGAAGAAUCUUCUGAUGGCAAUGAUGGACAAUUGAAAAAUUUUCCUGAAGAUAUUAAAUGUGAUGAAGAUGAUGCUAAUGGUGAGGCUGGGGGUCGCUCAUCUUCUGAACCUCUUGACAGCAAUAACAUGUUGCAUGAUAGAAAUGGAUCUCAUCCUGCCUCGACCUCAGCUGACUCACCUGAAGAUGGAAGAGGUGUUGCAUUUGGCUCUUCAAGGGAACAUAUUAUGCCAUCAAAUGCUCAGCAAAACAUGGAGAGGACGCCUUCAAAUUGUGAUACAAAACCUUGUGCUGAAGAAUGCAAUGCCUCUGUAGCUGUUGGUUCUUCAUACGGUGUGGAAGAAGGUAAUACAGACACUGUGGAAACAAAUCAGCUUUCUGAUCAAAAUGAACUAGGGCAAUCAAAGUCGCUUCUAGUACAAGACUCAUUAUUGGAAGAGUGUAGCCAACUCCGUGAAAAUGAAAUAGUGGACCAAACUGAUGACAGAGCGACAGAUAAUGGAGUGGCUUUGAAAUCAGAAGUAAAAACUACAUCAGCUCUCGAAGAGGAAAAGCAAUUGGAUGAAAAGACGCCUUGUUUAUCUUCACAAUUAAGUGGUGGCGAUGUUCAGACCCAUGCAGACUUAGAUAGCGGCAGUGGAAUGGAAGAGAAACUGUCAUCUACACCUGAGAUUCACGCAGACUCUCAGGAGGAAAAAAUUGAGACUGCUACAAUGGUUCCUGAUGCCAAUUCUUUUGAUGCAGAAUUUAAGGAUAAAAAAUCAAAUAUUGUGAACUCAGAAAUUCAUGUUAAUCAGAUCGGGAAACAGACAAUGAUUCAGGUUCCUCCUCUGUCAGAUCGGAAAGAUGAUUGUGCAGUGCAGGAUUUGGGAAGAACAGAUGACAUUAAUAAUUGUUGUGGUGGGGUUUCUAUGCACGUGGAAUCUCCCGCCAUUCCCUUACCGGAAAAUGAUCAGGAUGAGAAAUUAAGUUUAAAUAUUCCCGAGUCGACUGGAACCAAAGACCAUGUCACUAGUGAAAAUCCUUCACUUUCUGCUCCAAGGUCAGACACAGUGGUAAAGCUGGAUUUUGAUUUAAAUGAAGGUUGUUCUGUGGAUGAUGUGACACAAGACGAUGUUAUUGGAAGUUCCUCUUCUGUUCAGCUGCCCAUUUUCACACCUUUCUCCAUCCCUUCAGCAUCAGAAAGCUUCCCUGUUUCAGUUACUGUGGCUUCUGCUGCAAAAGGAUCAGUUGUUCCACCAGCGAACUCCCUAGCAAACAAAGUUGAACUUGGAUGGAAGGGUUCAGCUGCUACAAGUGCUUUUCGCCGUGCUGAACCACGAAAAAAUCUUGAAAUGCCACUCAGCUUGAGUGAUGUACCGCUUGUUACUACCACUAGCAAGGAGGGGCGCCCACCUUUGGACUUUGACCUGAACGUGCCGGACCAGAGACUCCUAGAAGAAGUUGCUUUGUCGUCAAAUGUACCGUGGAAAGCAAGUGUUGAUCCAGGGCUUUGUGAUCGAGGUGGUGGACUUGAUCUUGAUUUGAAUAAAGUUGAUGAAAGUCAUGAUGUGGGCCCAUGUUCUAUUGGCAGGAAUAGGUUAGAGCUCCCCAUUUCAAGUAGGCCAUUUGUUUCUGGUGGUUUAGGGAAUUGUGGGUUCAGUGCCUCCAGAAACUUCGAUUUGAACAAUGGUCCUUCCCUUGAUGAAAUGGGGGCAGAAACAGUACCUCUCAGUCAGCAGAAUAAAAGCUACAUGCCAUUUUCAUCACUUCUCCCUGGAAUGAAGGUGAACUCUGGAGAAAUUGGGAACUUCUAUUCUUUGUUUCCUCAGGGUAAUUCAUAUUCAGCAUUAACGGCGAUCCCAUCAGUCUUGCCAGGUAGAGGAGAACAAAGCUAUGUUCCUGCUGCUGUAUCUCAGAGAGUAUUUGCUCCCCCUACAGGCACAGGAUUCACUGCUGAAAUUUAUCGUGCACCAGUGCUUUCUUCCUCUCCUGCUUUGGCAUUUCCACCUGCUAACUCCUUUACUUAUUCUGGGUUCCCUUUCGAAACUAGUUUUCCUGUACAAUCGAACAAUUAUUCAGGUUGUUCUACAUCUUACAUGGAUUCAUCCCCUGGCUGUUCGCUUGGAUUCCCUACCAUCACUUCUCAUUUAUUAGGGCCAGCUGGGGUAGCCCCUACCCCUUAUACAAGGCCGUUCAUUAUGAGUUAUCCAACCGGAAGUAGUGCUGUUGGUCCUGAGAUUGGAAAAUGGGGAAGCCAGGGUUUGGAUCUUAAUGCAGGUCAUGGGAUUAUAGAUAAAGAAAGAUUUGAUGAAAAGUUGCCUUUAGCAUCGAGACAACUUUCAGUUCCCAGUACGCAGCCUUUUGCUGAUGAGCAGCUCAAGAUGUUUCAGAUAGGUGGUAUGCACAAGAGAAAAGAACCCGACAGUGGCUUAGAUGGUUCUGCUAGGUUUAACUACAAACAACAAUGAGUGAGGGCAGUAGCAUUUCAUUGUGGUCACCAACCAAGUCCUGGCCAAAGAAUUACAGACCAAGAAAAAAGAACACAGUAUACGUGCUAAUAGUGGCACCAAUAAUAAAAAAACUGUUUAUGAUGGGGCUGGCGUACUGUUCCCUCUCAAAUGUUGCAGCAACAUCGCUGGUUUUCGGGCAGCUGAAUUUUUCUCUGUGGUGGACACAUUUCGACAGAUUCGUUUCACUAAAAAGCAGACAAGGUUUCAUUUGUGUAAAUAUCUAACUUAAUAGAAAGCAAAGCAAAAGGAAGUUGCUGUGUAGAAAGCUAAUGAAUGGCGUCAGACAUGUGGUCGAUUGCCAUCCAUUCAGACACCUUCACCUUGGAAACAGAAGUGGAUGUAAGAACUUUUGGAGGUUGUGGCCGGCCUUUGUCAGUGAUACUCAAAGCUGUGUUCUCCCUUACAUAUGUAGUUAUUACUUCAUUCUUACUGUUAGGUUCUCUUUUACACUCUUUAUUCAUAGUAAUACACAGAUCCCUUUUCUCUCUUGCUCAUGAA